AUUUUUUCUAAAUGUCUCAUUUUCUCUUGUGGUAACAUCAUCUCUCCUCUGGACCCGAUCACGACCACACUACGAAAGGCACCCACUGACGCACCGGACGCGACACAGACAAGGGAGCUAGCGAACGCUAAGCAGACGCUAGAAACACAUCACCAGACCCUGGCGGCACGGACGCACUGACCAUACACGUCCACACCUUCAUACGAG